rnacentral:lncRNA from 1 species
CAGCUAGAUACUAGUUCCUUCGCUGUGCGCAAAUCCCCAUCUGAGUAUUUGGUCUGUGCAUCUCUAGUCUUGAGUAUGGGUAUGCCAUUCACAUCCCUGGGAAUCGGGGGGCAGGGACUGGGUCCACCCAGACCUGCUUCCUACUCUCCUCAGCACCUGGUUCUCAUUCUCAUUACUAAGGUCUGAGCUAUGCCCGUUGCCACCUGACUUCCUGAGAGCUAUGCUGUUCCCUGGUCUUGGGACCAGUGAGCCUGAGACACUGCUAAAAGGAACCAUAUGCUUUCAGAGAGAUUGCAUCCGAUCUAGCAUGUAAAAUUUUAGCUCUAUAAACUUACAGGGGGUUAUAGAAACACUCCAACUGAGGGUGAUUCACUCAGAAAAUGUUUCUCGGGUCUGAGGGCUGGUGCAUGAGACCAGAGCCACAGAACCAGGGAGAGCAAGCUGUCUUGAUGUGUAGACAAGCACAACCUCUGAGGACAGUACACACUUACAGCACAAACACGCGUGUCUUCCCUCCAAGCUAGCAACUGAGAGCGGGGCUAGUGUAUCAUAGCAGCUCAUUUUGACAUUGUCUGUAUUAACUCUACAUUGCCUCAAGCAGAGCCUUACCUUUAGAGCUCAUUGUAGAUGGAGAUCUGUUUCAGUGGAACACUGUCUGUCUAGACUCCAGCUCAGCUGGGCUGCACAAGUCACAUCUGCAUCGUGCUUAGCACACUUAAGAGAACUCUGCAGGGCACGAAUGGGAAUAGCCCUGGAGAACAUGGGGUGAGGCUGCUUGUCCCUCCAAAGCAAAAAGCCGGAUGGGAUUUAUUUUCCCAUCCUGUAUACGGAAUAUCUAAAAAAUCUCUAAAUCCUUCUCAACUUUAACACCUGUUGCUAGGGAUUUCUCAGUCAGCAGAUUUAGGAACUUCAGACGCUUCACAGUCUCUUAAAUCUAAAAUAGGAAAAGUUCAGGAUGGUCAGACCCUGUUUUCACAGGAAGCGCUUCUGAAGGAAGCCAAGCCCUGUAUAGGUGUCCACAGGGGUGGACACUCCCAUGCAUGGGAUGACUCCCUUCCUUCUCCAAAGCCUCCCGGGUGUCUAACUAAGGUCUCUUCCAGUUCUCCUUUGGGUUUUUGUGAUUUCAUGGGUCUCCAUUCCCUCCCUCGAUCCCAUAUAAUUAGCAUCUCCAUCAGUGAGUGAUACCUGGCCCUCGAGGGGUUCUUUGGGUCUUUGGAUUCUGUUCCUGCAAAGCAGAUUUGCUUGCAAGUUCCUACCCGAGUCAGAACACAGGUCCAUCUAGGGAAAGUCAUGGAGUUUCCAAACAUUUCAAAGGAUUUGCCUCCAAGUGUGAACUUGCCGAAUGAAUGGUUGCCAUAGCACACGGUGUAACCCACACUCUACCUUUUCUGGUAUCCUUAGUUGCGUUGAGAAUAAAUACCUUUUCCUACUCCAGUAUCUACACGCGGGCAGUGUGGCACAUACUUUGAAUUUAGAGGCAUGAGCAUAAAGUCCCACCCUCUGAGUCUGUAGGGAGGUAUUUCACAGUUGGGCCGUCGUUUUGAGUGAGGAAGUGGGGUAUGGCCCCGUGGCUGCUUAUGUAGACUUUUUAUCCCAGAGCUCCUGUGGCUGCCUGAGCACCAGCCCUGUGGUUUUGUACACACAAAACCUGAAAACACAAAAACACGUGCACAGCAAAGCCUGAACCAAAUGGCACAACCCACACAAGCUUAUCAGAAUUGGGCAAAACCCAUUAAGCUUAGAAGACAAGGGCCACUGUAGCUGUCCAGCGUAGAACUUCUUCUCAACUUCAAAGACAUGUCCUUGAAAUUUCAGCCCACUCAUUACUGAGUGGGCCCGUUUUGCUCUAGGGAAAACACAUUUUGAAAAUUGCCAAAAAGUCGGAAGAAAUGUACUACUGUAUAAAGCAAAGCUGUAUAUACUAAGUAAGCAUUUUUAGCAGAGGAAUAUUUAUUUGCAUAGCCUAUUUAUUUGUAUUCGUAUCACGCUGUUAUUAAACAUCAGGAUGAAAUCAAUGACCAGAAGCAAGGACUCUUGCCUUUGGACGUCUCAUUGCUUAGGACUGCCAUGAUGCUGUCAGCUUGGGAUAACAAUUAGAAGAUAGAAAGCCCACAGGCCGGGCAUCUACCUAACUUCUCAGGGACUACACCUCGUAGUUUUCCACCAUUAUAAGAGCUGGUAAAUAUGAAACAUUCGUUGACUUACCAGACUGCCAUUGACAGUGUUUGAUUUUUUUUUCUCAUAGUUCAUGCUCUCUGCCUCUGUGUAUAUGACUGUGCUGUGUAUUUAUCAAAGUAGGAAGCAAUAAUUUAUAUGUAAAAAAAAUGGCCAAGCAAUAUAAGGUUAAAACUUACGUAAGUAACCAUUACCUUAUCUUGUAUUUUCAAGUGUUUUUUAAAUCUGCUUUUCCAAAUAUAACACUAUGUU